ensembl:lncRNA
AUCUCUACUUGGAGACUCUCCUUUAGGAGGUUCUGGUGAGCCCUGAUCUUCAGAAGGGGGGGGUGUUUUUAUGGAGAAAGGAGGGCUUUUUAAUGAGAUUCUGAACUUCUAAGGAACUCUUGAGAAGAUUCUUCUCUUUUGGAAAUGUCUUGAAUCUCACAAGGGACACUGAAGAGGCAGGUGGAGCUUGAGUGACUCUAGUCAUACAAACCUUUGUUGCAGUUGGCUGAUGGAAAAUGGAAAACUGCUGACCCAGGGUGACAUCUAUGAAAUCUGUCAGUUUCAUAAUACCACUGAGUUCCCAUCCCUGCUGUGUUAGCAUGGAGCCUGGCCCAUGAUGUUUGUGCUCCCUCCAUGCUGUAUCUCUUAGAGUCAACAUACCAAGCUGCCCCCAUGUUACUAACAUCUAAGGCUGCAGGUUUGUCUUGCUUAGGGAACUGUCAUGCAACGGACUCCUGCGUAUUCACCACAUUCCACCCUGAAGGUUUCCUCAGAGCUGUGCCUUCUCUUAAGAGGUGGCCACCUCAAUCAGUCACCACCAGUUACUCUACAUAAUCCAUCCUGUGACCUUGUUCACUCAAUCUUCACAAUAUUUAGAAGAAAUUGAGGACUGAACUCAAGGGGUUCUUGGGCUACUCGCUAUUUAUGGGGGCAGGGAGGAGCACACCAUCACACAGUUCAUUUUUGCAGAAGAUCUGUAGUAAAGUAGCAUUCAGUAAAUUAGAAUAAGCUGAAAUUGAUUUUCCUGCAUAUGUAAAGCUGCUGCCUACACCCAGGACACUGAUCUGUGGCUGUGCCACUAGCAUUAGUUGUCCUUGUACACCUCUUGAAUUCACUUUCUAGUGAAUAUCUCUGUUCAGAAUUAAUUUUAUAGGGAUUAUGAGCCAAUGUGAUGCAUAAAGAGUAGAUGGUAGUACAGCUGGUUAUGGACACUGGUGGGCGUCACAUUUAAAAUGCUACUUUAGCUAAUACAGUUGCUUUUAAAUCUCAUUCAAUCUGAAGGAGGAAGAAGAGUCACAGCUAAAUGCUGUUGGUUUUUUUUUUUUUUUUUUUUUUUUUUUUUUAAGAUUUUCUUAUGUAUUUUAACCAAGUUUUUGCCUGUGAAAGAUUGAAGCAAUAGCUAUGUGAACUUGCUUCCCGGACAACUUUAGCCUUCCAGAUUUCUAGGUUUUCACAAUUAAUCAUUUAUUUUAUUCCCUUCUCAUGAAUUAAAGAAAAAGAGUAAAUCAUUUAAUUGUACAUUUUUAGUAAAACUUGUGAUUUUGACUCAUCAAAUUGUGCAUGAUGAUGAAAGUAAAAGACUAACAGUUUUCCAACAGGAAGGGGUACAAUAGUGGUAUACAAAUUUGGCUGACAUACAUCAAAUAUAAACAGCAGCUGCUUAUACAAACUAAGAUAGCUCAUAUAAAAACUGUAUAAAUAGCAUGGCUAUGUCCAUUGCUAAAGCUAUAGCAAAACUGCUAGUGUAGACUGAAGAUCAGCAAAACCAUGUCUUUGCUCUGAAAGAUAUUGUCUUCUAUUUGAGCUGUGUGUGCAAGUUUCAGAAGCAGAGAAUGGCAGAUUCUGCUUUGAGAAACUCUCUUAAUGCAUAACAAAGUCACUUUCCUGUUUUCUUGAACCUGAGUGGAAGUUUAGAAGAUGGUAAUUCAGCUCUAUAUCUAUGCAAGGAAAUUAAAUGGAAUAAGGCAUUCUACUUUCUCAACCUGAGGAUCUGGCAUACAAAAGUAAAAGGUGCAACAUACUGAUUUUCUCCCUUUCAGAUUACGCAUCCUGAACAUAAAUGAGCAGGAUUAAGUGUAUCUUGUUGAGCUGAAUACUGAGCUCAGCUACAAUUAGCACAGCAUUACUAAUAUACAGUGAGUUCUGCCAAUUUGUAUUUGACAAAAGUGCUAAGAUAGCAAGCAGGGUCUUCUGAUUUUUCGGAACCAUUAUUAUUGGAGAAUAAGAAUACAAAGUCAGUUUUGCAAUAGACAGUGGCCACUGGUAAAGUUUGGCAGGAGUCUGUGUCAAGGUCUACACUACUCAACAUACUCAUAAAUAGCUUGGAAGUGGGGGUGAACAGUGAGUGGAAAAUACUCUGCUAUUCAAGGCAGAAAUGAGAAGUCAGUAAAGAACUUAUUAAAGCUGAGAUACAAAGUAUUAAAAUGACAGUUGAAAUUCAGG